rnacentral:rRNA from 1 species
UACGUAGGGGGCUAGCGUUGUCCGGAAUCAUUGGGCGUAAAGGGCGCGUAGGUGGUUCUGUAUGUCUACCGUGAAAGCGUACGGCUCAACCGUAUUUUGUCGGUGGAAACUGCAGGACUUGAGGCUGGGAGGGGCUGGUGGAAUUCCCUGUGUAGCGGUGAAAUGCGUAGAGAUGGGGGGAGAACACUCGUGGCGAAGGCGGCCAGCUAGACCAGUUCUGACACUGAGGCGCGACAGCGUGGGGGAGCAAACAGG